rnacentral:rRNA from 3 species
CAACUUUUAACAAUGGAUCUCUUGGCUCUCGCAUCGAUGAAGAACGCAGCGAAAUGCGAUAAGUAAUGUGAAUUGCAGAAUUCAGUGAAUCAUCGAAUCUUUGAACGCACCUUGCGCUCUCUGGUAUUCCGGGGAGCACACCUGUUCGAGUGUCAUU